rnacentral:lncRNA from 10 species
AGGUGGGGACCUCAGGCGACGGCAGCUGGGUGAGAUUCAGCUCACAGUGCGCUAUGUGUGUCUGCGGCGCUGCCUCAGCGUGCUAAUCAAUGGCUGCAGAAACCUAACACCAUGUACCAGCAGUGGAGCUGAUCCCUACGUCCGUGUCUACUUGUUGCCAGAAAGGAAGUGGGCAUGUCGUAAGAAGACUUCAGUGAAGCGGAAGACCUUGGAACCCCUGUUUGAUGAGACGUAAGUGGGCUGGUGGCCUGCCUAGAGUGCCUCACCCAUUCAAGUAUUUUCCAAGUACCUGUUAUGUUGCCUGGCAGCCUGCCAGAUGCUGGAAGGGGCUAUGGCUGAACAAGACAACAUAGUCUAUGACUUCAUGAAGCUUCUGUACGUUAGUGGGGAAAAUGGAGUGCCAGAGAAGUUUAUCAAAAUGGCCACCUACAUUUACUGCUCAUAGAGGCUAAAGUGUUCCUGAAUAUGGAAUGUUCCCUACUCUUUCUGUUUAAAUGAAGUCUCUCUGGUAGUAAAAAGAUUUGAAUGUUC